rnacentral:lncRNA from 1 species
UAGUUGGGGGUGUUUAUAGCUCCGUAUCAUCGAAUGAAAUAUGUAAAAAUAGUCUAUUCAAGAAUUAAAGUAGUAUAUUAAAAUAUGUCUCUCUGAAAAGAUUUAGGCUUGAGACAUAUCAAUAAUAAUAAUUUUACAGUUUUAUUUAAUUUAGUUUUAAAGUUAUUAAUAACAUUUUAUUUUUCUUGAUUGUAGGAUGCUAAAAUUUUCGGCUCUCAUCCACCUGCUAUUAUAGAGGACGCACUGGAGCAGGAGCAAGAGCAAGAGG